rnacentral:rRNA from 1 species
GGACUACCAGGGUAUCUAAUCCUGUUCGCUCCCCACGCUUUCGCGCCUCAGCGUCAGUAUUAUGCCAGGUGGCUGCCUUCGCCAUUGACGUUCCUUCCGAUAUCUACGCAUUUCACCGCUACACCGGAAAUUCCGCCACCCUCUCAUAUACUCUAGUCAGAUAGUUUGCAAUGCACUUCCCAGGUUAAGCCCGGGGCUUUCACAUCACACACAUCUCACCGCCUACGCGCCCUUUACACCCAGUAAUUCCGAUUAACGCUCGCACCCCCUGUAUUACCGCGGCUGCUGGCAC